CUCUUUCCGGGGACCGUAAUCGCGUCAAUGAGUGCAAAGUGCGGAAGUUUCUCUCGGAGUUAAGCGUCGAUCCGUCUCCUGCGGUUCCGCCCAAACUGACACCGGAACCUUAAAACCGUCCGGCUCCGGAGAGUAAAACGCUGGUAUUUUCCAUCUGAAAAGGAGCAUUUGACAAAGAAAACGGAAGAAACCUCCCGGCGGUGAAUAGAGCCGGUAGACCGAGCUCCGCCUCGACCAGCUCCCGUGUUACUGCAUCACGUUUAAUAUUCCAAUAACACACGCUACACGUGGACACACACACACACACACACACUUGGAGAAGCUUCGUUCUGCCCAACGAGUCCUUCGACUUCUGAUUCUUUACAUUUAUAAGAUUAUGGGAAUUUGUUGACCUUAUUAGACUGUGACCUGCGGCGCAUGGUGGACCGGCUUGCAGCUGAAUGCCAAGCGGCGAGGAUGAGGGUCAGGACCUCCAAGUCCCCGUCCAUGGUACCAUGGUACAAUGGUGGAUUGCUUCCUGUUGGUUGGCAGCGAUUCCUUGUCCCGAUGGGUUACAGUAUCUUUGAGUUCUGUUGACAUUGUAUGUCUGUGGUUACACUGCUAGGAAUGUAAGGAGCUGAAUGAAUGUCCCAAAAUGUGGAAAAGAAGCCAAGCAAACCUGGAGUGGACAUAUAAUGCAUGUGAUUAAUUAUAGUGUUGUUAACACUGUCUGUUACUGUUCUUUGGGGAAUUAUUGUUAGGGUAAUUCAGGAUUUGUUCCCUUUAAAAUGCUCUGUGAAAACAAAUAUUCGAAAAGAAAAAUGUUUGUUGUCUUUGAAAAGCAGGAGGUAAACCCACAGGCCAACCGGUCUCGACGGACACCCAGCCGGGUACAGCAGGGUCGGGUCCGUGAACACUGAGAAACAGGAUUAUCAGAAGAAAGACACACUGAGCAGGAUUCUGAGCGGGCACCAUUAAAACUCCAAAAACAGUCGAAAAACACUGAAGCUUCUGAAAGACCGAUAGCAUCAGAUUGUAAAGAAAGAUGGAAAACAAGAGCACCUGAAAUGAUCCCGGCUCUGGCCAUCCGACCAGAGUGUCGCUCGAGAACUGGGGAGGAGAGCCAAGGAGGAAAUUUCCAAGACCAGUAAAGGCACAGCUGAGAACUUCUGGUUAACCUUUCCACCAGAAGAUGCUUUCGACCAGUCUGCUAACUCCAGUAGACGUUUUCCAGAAUACUGAUGGCACCGCUGACAGUUUCUGGUUCACUUUAACAACACCAGAAGAUUUCCUGGAUCACCCGACGAAUUCAGACAAGGGCAGUUCUCCAGAAGACUGGACAACCCCGAGAGAGGAGUUUUCAGACAGCGUUAACAGAUAUGACAACACAUGAGAAUAUAAGUGAACGUUUUUGGAAACAGCUUUUAAUUAUAUCAAUAAAGAAUAAAGGUUAUUCCCUCUGGUAAGACUUUAUUCUUGAUAUGAGGAAUAACAUUCCACAUACCGAUGGAAAACACAGAUCAUAUCAAGUCAAAAUAUGUUUUCUUGGUCCAAUUUUGAGCAGAGGUCGAUGAAAGGCAAACAAAACCAAACAAAGAUCAGGCAGGUGGACAAAGACCAAGAGUAGGAAUUAUUAGUUGUAAACCGGAAGGCAGGUAACUAGAACUAGGGAUGGAACAUUAAAGGCCUGGUCACACCAGAAAGUGCAGCAGUGAAAUUAAUCUGCAUGACUUUGCACAAUAUUUGGUGCUACAAUACAACGUGGUGAUGUAGUGACUUUACUCAAUGGGGCUAGCUGGUGAACUGGUGCAGCUGGCACGCUAACUGCUACUGGACAAACGCUAGUAACUGUCCACUGGCAAACUCAUUUAGGUUCUCAGCUUAACUUGUUCCCAAACAGGACAAGACCCCCCAGUUUAUUAAGUACGAUGCUCUCCUGUCUCCUAACUGUGUGUAAACCAGCAGUGUAUACUCCGACAGAGGAGGUUCGGUAAAGCUGGAUGGUGACGAACAGCCAUUAAGCUUCCUCCAUUUUCUCUUUUCCCUGAAAGAUUAGCUCUGUCCAGACAGGUUGCUAUCGGUCAGUAUUACAAAUUUGUGAGUAACAGUUCUUCAAAGUUGAACUACAUGUGGAAAAUUUGCGCAGGUUUAUUUCACCCAGCCAGUGAGUCCACUAAUUGUGACGAUUCCGUAGGAAUGAACCAAAACUGGCCACAAAAUGUUGCUGUGUUAAAUGCUGGUGUGACCAGGCCUUAAGGUGGUAGAAGAGGGGCCGGUAGAUAUACUGAGUUACUGAUGGGGGAAGGUGUAGGUGUGCAGGUGGGUGUAGGGGCCAGAAGAUGGUGGGAACACACUGAAGGCAGCUACAGGACAUCUCUGCAAUGAGAGAUGUUAGUGACGGCCAGGUACGAGAGAUGGACCGGAUGUGCAAACAUGAACUAGUCUGAGGCUGCUGGUGUGAUAGAAAACCUUUCCCGAAGCCUGCUCCCGAACCCACUGCUUUCAGUGCCUAAACAGAACCUUUAAAAAGGUUAACCGUGCCUCAGUUGCUGCAGGCUGAUAUUGUCGGAAAAACAAUGAAAAGCAUUGUCAGUGAACAUUUUUCAACUUGGCAGAUAUUUUCCUUAAAAAUGUUUUCUCAUUGUGUUGAUAAAAAAAAACAAAAAACAUAAUUCUAGUGGCAUAAUGUUUCUCCCAAAACAUAUCUGCUGUUUCCCUACACAUGCGGAGAGUGUCCUUCCUACAGCUUGCACAGAGACACUGAGGAGUUAAACGACCAGAACAAAAACCCGGGGUAAAGGGGUUCAGUGAAUGUGGUGCGGAAGGUGUGGAGGUGGAUCAGUGAGUCAGAGGAGACUCUGUAGAAGGACAGGGUGCCGGCAGGAAAGUCCACGUACACUGCUACUCUGUGAGAGGAGGGUUGGGGAGGGAUCACUAUUUCUCUGUUACCGUGCCAGGCAGAGUAACCACCAUCAGAGCACUUCAGACUCCAGGACUGAUCGUUCCUUCCAAGCCGACAGUCAACAUUGUUAUCUCUCCUCCGGAUUCCUCCGUAAGCGACGCCGAUGUCAACCCACCCUCGCCAGUCAACUUCCCAAUAACAACGGCCUGUCAGACUAUUCCUAUGCAGCAGCUGAUUGCUGUGAAACCUCUCUGGAUGAUCGGGAUAUGGCUGCUCCUUUCGCACCGCUGUCACCUUUCUGUUGUUGUCGGACAGCUGGAGGAAUCUGUUCGCUGUGUUUGGGUCCAGCUCCAGUUUGCAGGCAUCUGAUGGAGAGAACAGGACACGAUACAGCUGCAUUUUAUCAUCUGACACACUUUAUGGGUAUAUUGUUUGUUCUCUUCCGAACAGAUUUUUUCUAUCAAAUUUAAUGACGCAUUACAUGUCAUCCAUCUCUUGUGAGUAGAGCAAUUGAAUAUAAGCCAGAAUUAGAAAUUGUGGGUUGUUUUGGUGAGAUGAAUGAAAAUGAAUACACACAUUUCCUUAAACCAGGUUUUAACCUCUGUUCCCCACCAUGGUCCACCCUGGAGGAAGAAACACAGUCAGACCAGCAUUUGUUACGGAAUCAUGAACAUUAAACAACCCUCCCCUUGAAUGAUU